UCUCCUGGAAAACGGGUGGUAAUGCCGGAUGUUCCAGUUGAUCGCAUGGUCUUCUGGGAAAGCUUUCGCGGUAUGGGAUGGGGUCGCGUCCUAUCAGCUUGACGGCGGGGUAACGGCCCACCGUGGCUUCGACGGGUAGCCGGCCUGAGAGGGCGACCGGCCACAUUGGGACUGAGAUACGGCCCAGACUCCUACGGGAGGCAGCAGUGGGGAAUAUUGCACAAUGGGCGCAAGCCUGAUGCAGCGACGCCGCGUGAGGGAUGGAGGCCUUCGGGUUGUAAACCUCUUUUAUCGGGGAGCAAGCGUGAGUGAGUUUACCCGUUGAAUAAGCACCGGCUAACUACGUGCCAGCAGCCGCGGUAAUACGUAGGGUGCAAGCGUUAUCCGGAAUUAUUGGGCGUAAAGGGCUCGUAGGCGGUUCGUCGCGUCCGGUGUGAAAGUCCAUCGCUUAACGGUGGAUCCGCGCCGGGUACGGGCGGGCUUGAGUGCGGUAGGGGAGACUGGAAUUCCCGGUGUAACGGUGGAAUGUGUAGAUAUCG
rnacentral:rRNA from 2 species